GAGGAUCAUUAAAGAGUUUAAUAAAACUCCUAAACCCCUGUGAACUUACUGGUGUUUGGCUCGCCAGAUAUAGUCUGGUCCGUAAGCAAAUCGACUGCCUGCCUGUGUAACAGGCAGGUAAGCUUUUGUCGCGGGGUCCCGGAUCAACCCGGGCUAGAUAGCCACUUAACUAUAUACUUUUUAUAAAAUCUGUGAACUUACUAGGUUGGAUUCUCGCCAGAGAUAGUCUGGUUUCUGCCACGCAGAUCGACUGCCUGCCUGUGACACCUGUCACAGGUAGGUAAGCUUUUGCCGCGGGUCCGCAUGUAAAUCGUCUGUUUCACAAGGGACGGCGAUUUACCUGUGGAAGAGGUCCGCUAACUAUAUUCUUAGUAUAGUUUGUUCACUAGAUCAAACAUUCUGAAUAAAAACUUAAACUAGUUAAAACUUUCAACAACGGAUCUCUUGGUUCUGGCAUCGAUGAAGAACGCAGCGAAAUGCGAUAAGUAAUGUGAAUUGCAGAAUUCAGUGAAUCAUCGAAUCUUUGAACGCACAUUGCGCCCAUUAGUAUUCUAGUGGGCAUGCCUGUUCGAGCGUCAUUUCAACCCUUAAGCCCCUGUUGCUUAGCGUUGGGAGCCUACAGCCUGCUGUAGCUCCUUAAAGGUAGUGGCGGAGUCGGUUCACACUCUAGACGUAGUAAAAUCUUUAUCUCGCCUAUGGAUGAGCCGGCGCCUUGCCGUAAAACCCCUAAUCUUUCACAAGGUUGACCUCGGAUCAGGUAGGAAUACCCGCUGACUUAA
rnacentral:rRNA from 1 species